CUCUACCCAGCAUACAGCGUGUGCAGUCCGAUCCCGUCGAUCUGGGUGCGUUUUAUUUCAAUCACCGCGUUAAGAAAAAAAAAAAAAGCAGAGACUUUCACCGGAAUGCACGCGUUUUCUCUCUGAUUUAUCAUUCCUGCAGGGUUUUCUUGUCUUCUUGCAUAUGGGAAGAAUGUGAUAAUGGAGCGGGAGAAAAAUAAAAGGGAGUGGAAACGGACUGAGCUCGAGAGAUAAGAAAAAAAAGCAAGAGAGGCCGUCCAUUUUGUCAGAGCAGCAAAAAAAAAAAAAAAAAAAAAAAAAAAAAAAAAAGAGAGAGAAGAUGGAAUUCAAGCACAAUCUGGAGGAAGGAAAAAGAUGGAGAAACGCGCGCGCCGUGCCUUAAAAAUGGGAUGAAUAUUUGGGAUGUGGUGUGUUGAUGAUUCGGAGAGAGAAAAAAUGGAAAGAUGAACCAGGCAUGAUGAAGCUGCUGCAUCUUCUUCAUCCUCAUCAUUCGGUCCUGUCUGUCCUGACCUGGAUUUAUCUCGGAUUAAAUCCGCACACACUCGGGUUUAACCCGGGAUUGUAAUCUCGGUUGUUGGAUUGAAGAUUGUGCACUGUUGCAGACUUUAUGAAGUGGCCUAGUAUGCAUCAUCUAGUGUGCAUCAUCUAGUGUGCACGGACCUGCAUCCUGAGCAUCUCACCUGUACCCUCUCAGAUGAAAAGGUCAAAGGUAGACACCAAUUACAGCUACAUCGUCAUUAAAGGAACGUCAUUAAUCUACAUAUUUUUGGAUUUGAAGAUCCACAGUUUGUAUCUUGACACUGAAUGUCUGACUCUCAGCUAGGACAGAUAUCAGAAUACACGUUCUUCUUUUUUUAGAAAUUCAUUUUUCAUUCCAGUCUGACGUGGUUGGAGUUAAAGGGAUGUAUUUGUAUUGACUUUUUGACUUUUCCACUUUUGGAAGUGUAAAGGGAUGUGAGGUCUAUAAUCAAGAUCACACCUGAGCGCUGAUCUGCAUUUCGUCUGAAACCGGACGCAGCGUUACCGAGAAAACUGUACAAGUCCUUUAAAGGGAGAAUCCAACGUUUCUGGAAUUAAAAGAGACACCUUAAAGGUUUCUGUUGGGGUUUUUAAUUAUUAUAAUUUUUUUUAGAGCAGGUCCGUAAUUGAGAUCACUGCUGAGGAGAAUGGGCUGCUGUGGGAGCGUGUGCAUCCUUUAAAGGGUAACUCAGAGCUGGCUGGAAUUAAAUGGAGACGUUCAGGGUUUCUUUAAUAAGCAGUGCAGCACCAGUGGAGACUUCCUGACGUUUACAAAAAGCACACAACUGAUCACCUGAGGAAUGAGGGUUCUUCCUCAGCAAGAGCUCUCUGGCGUGGAUGACCUCUGAUGACCCCUAGUUACACUCCGGAGUGCGUUCCAGAGAGCGUGCGUGCUUUCCCGAGUGCUGCUGGAGGACGGGUUGGAUUGAAACCCUACGAGACCGUGAGAACUGACCAAGAGGAGGAGGAGGAGGAAGAAGGAGAUAUGAGCUGUGGAUGGUGGUGAUGAUGAUGAUGCUGGAUACACAGGAGUUAGCUGUGCAGCGUGUACAGAAAAGAAUUACAGGCCCGUGUUUCUUAUUAUGGCUUCCAGAACGAGUAGAUUCAGUAGUAAUGAAAGAAAAGUCUCUAGUUUGGAAUAAUGGUCCGACCUGAAAGGUGCAGUGAGGAUUUUUUUUUUUUUAAUUGUUCUUACCACUACAAAUAAAUAAAUAUCGGUGAUGACAAAGAAACAUCUGUUAAAAACGUAGAAUCCAAAGCAAGUGAAAGAAGAAAAAAAGGUCAAAGAAAAAGAAAAAAAAACAGGUCCGUGCUGUCAGUCAUGUUAUAGACACACCUCCAGGGGGCGCUUGACUCCAGCCACUUCUUUACUGCUCAGGAAAGCAAAGCAUGGUGGGUUGUGAAAACAGCACAGAGUAAAGUGUAAAAUGAGAUUUAUUAUCGUUAUUGACUUUAACGCCACUGACGAGUGUGUGAUGAGUCGUUAUGAACUGGAUGAUGCACCACACCUUUGAUCUCCAACACACACACACACACACACACUGUCUCUCUGAGGACGUUUGUCUUCAGCUCUGUCUCCUCUGUGAAGUUUUUAUCGACGCGCUGCUGUUGUCUUGGAUGUUCCACUUAUCACAAAUAUACAGUUUCUCACUAGAGAAACCGCUAGAACACACUCGGUCUCUUCUGUUUAAUUCAGAAUGGUCUUUAAACACUGACUCACACACAUACACAUACACAUACACAAAAACACAUGCAUAUGUAACUGGACAAAGUGUUUAUUAUUAGUGUAUAGAAUGUAAAAUCAACACAUCGAGCUGGAGACACACAGGACUGGAUUUUUUAUCAGUUGCAGCA
ensembl:lncRNA